UGGGGUGUUUUUUUGGUUUCGAUCAGUGGUUCUUAAUGUUUUUCUGUCAGCCCCCCCCUUCGUAGGACUAAAAAUCUCCAGGCCCCCCUCAACCCCAACAACACUGUAACAGUGGUGCAAUUGUAACUUUUA